rnacentral:rRNA from 1 species
AUGGACAAUCUACUCCAAGCAAUCGCCAAGCUGAGAGAGUGCUUACGCUCUCUCUCAAUAUGGGUCACUCCACCACCCACAAAUGGAGACCAUAGUGUCACUCUGAAUAUGGAGAUGACAUCGGAGCAAAGUGCACCCAGGUUACUCAAGAGCCUGAAUAUCAAGGGCGUGCGCUUUCCCAACUCCGGGCUGCCUCGCUGGAUCUGCGAGCUACAUCUACUCUCUGAGAUUACACUGUGGAACACUUUUCUAUCUACAGACUCUCUGCAGGACCUUGGCAACAAUCUCCAUCACUUGCGCUGCCUUCGGCUCCGUCACAACUCGUACAACGAGCACAAGCUCACCUUCAGCAAGGAUGGAUUCCAAGACCUCAGGUUUCUCAUCAUCGAGGGCGACACCAUCACCACCGUCGACUUUGAAGAAGACAGCACAACACAUUUACCUCAACUCAAAAAGAUCCUUUGGCGCAACAUGGCCGUCAACAAGGAAGCACCUUGCCCUCGGCUCAAGAAGAUUGUUUGGCGCAACAUGGCCAUCAAUCAGGCGGGCACGCUUUCUGGAAUCUGCCACCUUGACAUGUUGAAAGAAGUGGAGCUCAAGGGCCACUUCACCGACUCGAGCAUCAUUCCGCACAGCAAUGGGUGCAAACCGAGGCAUGAGCCAUGA